GUUUAUUUCAGUGUUUAUU
rnacentral:sRNA from 1 species